GAGACCUCUCGGAUGGCCGCAGUCCCUCCUCCUGGGAAGGGCUGAGGAACUUCCGGGCUCCACAGAGCACGAUGGCGGAUAACGUCCGCCCAGGGCGACCUGAGAGAUAGCGCAACAGAGAACAGACCGCUCGCCUGGUAAAGGCGGGCAAGGGUGAAACGGCGGUGUAAGAGACCACCGGGUCGACGGUAACGCCGACCGCAUGGCAAGCCUCAUCGGGAGCAAGGCCAAGCAGAAGGCAUUCAGGGGCUGCUCGUCCCGCCUUCGGGUAGGCCGCUAGAGCCUGGCGGCGACGUCAGGUCGAGAUGGAUGGCCAUCCGUCGUCCGGAUUUUCAUCCGGUCGAUGACAGAACCCGGGGUAUAUGAGAGGUCUCACCU
rnacentral:RNase_P_RNA from 1 species